GACUCAGCCUUCAGGCAGGAAUCCCAUGAAUUGAAGAAGACAGGCAGCAGGGCGGGCGAAGGAAUUGGAGAAGCGGCGUAUUUCUGUAUUCCACAAUCCUUGGUGUUUUAUCAUCCAACACAGGCACGCAUACACAUGCGCACAUGUGCGCGCACGCUUAUGCAGCCAUGAGCCUGCGCAUGCUCACAGCACGGGAGCUGGGAGCUGCUUCUUAUGCCUUUUAUGCUGCUCGCUGUCAGCCAGUUGCUUUCCCAGUCUAGGCCUCCGUGUGUUCAUUUGUCAAAUUUAGGAGAAGGACUAGACUCUCUCAGCCUUGCCUGUAAAGGUCCCGGAGUUUGGAAUCCCCACCUGACUAUAAACUCCCCGAGGGCAGGAACUUGGCUUCAGUCCGGACUUGGCUUCAAUCCCUGGGUGCCUGAGCGCCCAGAAACCUCAGGAGAAGCCUCUGGAGGGUCCACCAAUGCCAGCUUCUGUUUGCGGCCGCUGUCCCUAGACCUGGAGGCUGCCCACAGAGCCAGAGGCCUUUUUCAAACACGAGCUGGGACCCAUCCAGGCUACUCUGGCAGAGGCUGAAGGAGGAACCUGCUUCUGAAGUCAGGAUCCUGAAUUCCCAAGCGGGUCACGCAUGGCACCCUGCGCUCCAGUGCCUUGGGACCAAGCAGGAGACCCAGCAGAGGCUCUUGGUUCUGCUGAAGGAGCCCUGUGCAGCCACAGGUGGGGGGACUCUGGCAGAGCAUCACUGAAGUGACCUGUGACCCUCACUCAACUCUGCAGGUCACCCAGAGAACAGGAAGGACUGUCCUGCCCACCCCAGAUCUCCUGAUGCCUUGUCGUGACUCUGGCUGGCUUUCAGCUGGCUGAAAACAGAGGGAAAGGGAUUGUACGGUAUGACUAGACCUGGAACUGUAUCCCCCCAAUAAUAAUUUGCUGAACACUUACUAUGUACUAGGCACCAUUGGAGACAAUAUAAUUAGCCCUCGUCAAUUUCAACAAUAUUGUGAAAUUAGUGUUGUUGGCAUAGUAACGUUAGUAAUAUUGGAAGUUGAAGCCCAGAGAGGUUAGGGAACUUGACCAGCAUCACAUGGACAAUAAU